AUUGAACGCUGGCGGCAGGCUUAACACAUGCAAGUCGAGCGGUAACAGGAGAAGCUUGCUUCUCGCUGACGAGCGGCGGACGGGUGAGUAAUACUUAGGAAUCUACCUAGUAGUGGGGGAUAGCUCGGGGAAACUCGAAUUAAUACAGCAUACGACCUACGGGAGAAAGGGGGCAACUUGUUGCUCUCGCUAUUAGAUGAGCCUAAGUCGGUUUAGCUAGAUGGUGGGGUAAAGGCCUACCAUGGCGACGAUCUGUAGCUGGCCUGAGAGGAUGAUCAGCCACACCGGAGAUGAGACACGGCCCGGACUCCUACGGGAGGCACCAGUGGGGAGUAUUGGACAAUAGGGGGAACACUGAUCCAGCCAUGCCGCGUGUGUGAAGAAGGCCUUUUGGUUGUAAAGCACUUUAAGCAGUGAGGAAGACUCUAGGGUUAAUACCCUUAGACGAUGACAUUAGCUGCAGAAUAAGCACCGGCUAACUCUGUGCCAGCCGCCGCAGUAA
rnacentral:rRNA from 1 species